CCCUUGGUCAGGUUGAAGUUCAGGUAACACUGAAUGGAGGACCGAACCGACUUACGUUGAAAAGUGAGCGGAUGAACUGAGGGUAGCGGAGAAAUUCCAAUCGAACCUGGAGAUAGCUGGUUCUCUCCGAAAUAGCUUUAGGGCUAGCCUCAAGUGAUGAUUAUUGGAGGUAGAGCACUGUUUGGACGAGGGGCCCCUCUCGGGUUACCGAAUUCAGACAAACUCCGAAUGCCAAUUAAUUUAACUUGGGAGUCAGAACAUGGGUGAUAAGGUCCGUGUUCGAAAGGGAAACAGCCCAGACCACCAGCUAAGGUCCCAAAAUAUAUGUUAAGUGGAAAAGGAUGUGGCGUUGCCCAGACAACUAGGAUGUUGGCUUAGAAGCAGCCAUCAUUUAAAGAGUGCGUAAUAGCUCACUAGUCGAGUGACACUGCGCCGAAAAUGUACCGGGGCUAAAC
rnacentral:rRNA from 1 species